AUUGAGCGCUGGCGGCAGGCCUAACACAUGCAAGUCGAGCGGCAGCGGGAAAGUAGCUUGCUACUUUUGCCGGCGAGCGGCGGACGGGUGAGUAAUGCCUGGGAAAUUGCCCAGUCGAGGGGGAUAACAGUUGGAAACGACUGCUAAUACCGCAUACGCCCUACGGGGGAAAGCAGGGGACCUUCGGGCCUUGCGCGAUUGGAUAUGCCCAGGGGGGAUUAGCUAGUUGGAGAGGUAAUGGCUCACCAAGGCGACGGUCCCUAGCUGGGCUGGCAGGAUGAUCAGCCACACGGGAACUGAGACACGGGCCAGACUCCUACGGGGGGCAGCAGUGGGGAAUAUUGCACAAUGGGGGAAACCCUGAUGCAGCCAUGCCGCGUGUGUGAAGAAGGCCUUCGGGUUGUAAAGCACUUUCAGCGAGGAGGAAAGGUUGAUGCCUAAUACGUAUCAACUGUGACGUUACUCGCAGAAGAAGCACCGGCUAACUCCGUGCCAGCCGCCGCGGUAA
rnacentral:rRNA from 1 species